UACGUAGGGGGCAAGCGUUGUCCGGAUUUAUUGGGCGUAAAGAGCGUGUAGGCGGCUAGAUAGGUCCGUUGUGAAAACUCGAGGCUCAACCUCGAGACGUCGGUGGAAACUAUUUGGCUAGAGUCCGGAAGAGGAGAGUGGAAUUCCUGGUGUAGCGGUGAAAUGCGCAGAUAUCAGGAAGAACACCCGUGGCGAAGGCGGCUCUCUGGUACGGAACUGACGCUGAGACGCGAAAGCGUGGGGAGCAAACAGG
rnacentral:rRNA from 1 species